UCUGUAAUUUUUCUUUCAAUAUUUUUGGACUGUGGUUGACCAUGGGUAACUGAAACCCUAGUGGGGACUACUGUAAUCCCAUUCAUGAGGCUUCAAGUUCCUGGCCUAAUCACCUCCCAACAACCCCACCUCUUAAUACCAUCACGAUGGGAUCUGGGUUUCAAUAUAUGAAUUUUGGUGGAACACAAACAUUGUGACCAUAGCAGGCAGGAAGUAGUAAACUCCAAUCAUAAUUCCAGAUAUUCUUUUAUUUCUGAUAAUUUCUAAUGAAACUACUUCUUGCUACAAACACUGAUUCCCAGGCAGAGUUUUCUAUCUUGGUUUUCAAAGAAGUGCAACAUGUUCCAUGUACAUCCCAGGACAUUCUAGUUCAACAUGUAUCAUGUGUACAUAAUCUGUAAAUAGCUCCAGAAAGACAUUUUCUCUGUCAAUAAAUAGUAAUAAUGUCAAAGUGAUUUGGAGCUCGUUAGGCAAUUCCUUCUAAAGAGUGAUGGAACUGAGGCCCAGAAUCUGAGUGAUCAUGUUCAUACUCAAUCUUUAAGAAACUGUAAGGAAAAUGACUUGGAACCACAGAAACCAAAGGAAGAAGAAUGAGUUUUGAAUACAGCAAGAGGAGUUUAAACGGAGAUUCCUCCCCAGUAUUGGAAGAGCCGUAGCAUAGAACCAACUUCACUGCCUACUGCUCAGUCAGGGAAAUGAACAAGAAGCUGUUUUGCUGGACUGGGGCUGUGUGCAUUGAAUGAAGGCUGCUGCUCUCAUUCAAGGUGUCCUGGAGUACCUCACCGGCCUGGAUGCAGAGGUGGCAGAGCACACAGGGCUGAGGGCUUCUAAGGAGAUGGGAAGCAGGUGCAGAACCACACUUUCAUUCUGCCAGGGAGAGUCCUUCUCAUUGCUCUGGGGGUGGGCCUUGUGGUUUUUCUUGACCCUCAGUGCUGAUUUCCAGUGAGCUGAAUGAACACAGUCCUUAGAGGGCCUGGGGCUCCAGGGUGUCCCAGGAUGACCAUUCCAGGGGGCAGAGUUGGAAAGACAGUGGCACCUGUUGCUGGCACAUUCAGUCUGCCCCUCUGCGAUUCUAUUCUCCUCCACUUUGGUAGCUGAAAUGAUCUCUUCUCUUCUAGUUUCCCUGUCAAGAUGAUUCUUAAAACAGCCCAUAGCCAUCAUGUAAGCUUGAUGCAAAUAUAAAUUAAUGAGUUCCUAGGACCAGGCAUUCAGAACUUCCAGCAUGGGGAGGGUGUGUGGAAGGGGACAAUGCCUUGGAAGUUCCAGAGAGCAAGGUUUAUUGCCAUGUAGAUUUCUGAAUGAGUCCUGCCUCUCUGAGGAGUCUGGGUUCUCUCCAAGAAUCCUUGUCUGACCAAGACCCUGAUAGAGCUCAUACCUUUCACAGUACAGAGUCCAGCGUUGACUCAGGCUGGCUGUGGACUCUGAGAUGGUCCUGUUGGGUUCAGAUCUCCAAGGCAGCUCUGGACCUAUAAGGAUGUGGACGGGGUGUCUGCGCUUUGCCAGCUCGGAAUAGCAAGGGAUGAACCCACUCAGUGAGGGUAUCAGCUCCACAGCUGAGAAAGAGAGGCCCUCGAGGGGGUGCGGAGGUGAUGGUUUUGGCUUCUCUGGUUUCUGCUUCCCCAUUCCAACACCUUCAACUCAG
rnacentral:lncRNA from 1 species